GCGCACUUCGAAACAAGAUAGAGAGGGCGGGUGAGCUCAGUUUGGCCUUGGAAGUGGUUAUGGAGGGGUGGGGUGUGCGGUGGUGGUGGAGAAGAGGGAGAAAUGGUUCCUCCGAGGUGUGGCGCGGCGUAAACAGCGGUGAGCGGCCCGACGCUACACACGCCAACUGAUUAUGAUGACAUGCAGGUAAUGGUCGGCAGCCUACGUGUCUUCCUUCCCUCCUUCACGCCUCAG